rnacentral:tRNA from 1 species
GAGAAAGUAUGCAAGAACUGCUAAUUCUAUGCCUCCAUGUCUAAUAACA